CUAUGUUGAUGGCUUGUUUCAGCGCAGCGCGCAUUAGCUUCACGAGGUCUCUUUCCAUCCAUAUGCAUUCAGAUCCGUCCUGACACAACCAGCUCCAUCAAUAAACAGACAAUACCGUGUGGUGCCUGGGCUUCUUCCUGCAGUGGAUUCUAUAUAGAUAAAAACAGAAUUCCUUUGCCUACGUGUCAUUGAAGAAGAACGGUAUCCCUUGAACUGUAUCUCUUUUGAAGAUCAUGCUGGAUUUCAAGCAGUAGAUGACUCAAGAUGAGCUGAGUGGCAGUUUGACCAUGACAACACUCCGCCCACCUGAACUUUACUUUGUCCUCAAUUUGUGGAAACAGGAGGCUCAUAAAAUGUCCAUGUCCAGUUGCAGGGGCUCAGUUUGAAUUUAAAAAAAAUGCUCUGUUAUUAAAAUAAAUACUUUUUUUACUCCAUUAAGAA